GAGGGGCUGGAAGAUGGCGGCGGACGCACACCCACCCGACCGCGACAGAGCUUAGGCCCCUAGCCCGCGCCGCCGCCCGCUGCUCGCAGCCACUGUGGGCAGCCCUGCUCUGUCCCGCGUUGCUGGUAGAGCCGCCCCGCGGAGGCGUGGGACCAGGGUGGCGUCCGCAUCCCCUGCCAGCGCGCCUUCGCCCGGGUCCGUCCAGGGAGCACCUGUGCACGGCCAUAUUGGAUUCUGUGCCCCAGUCACUGCCUCAGCGCGGCGGGAAAGGAGAGGAGUUCAACAAUUUUUAUGAAUUUCUAAUCCAACCUCAUCAUCCUAUGGGAAACAGAAGACCACCAAGAACAGCCAGCUGAGACAGAAUUUCACUGUGUUGCCCAAGCCAAUCUUAAACUCCUGGUCUCAAGCGAUCCUCCUGCCUUGGCCUCCCACUGUGCCUGGCCUAUGGACUCUGAAUUUUUUUAAAAGACUGGAAAAAACUUUUAUAAGAGAAUUGGAAAUUUGGACAAUGGAAUCUCAUUCUGUCACCAGGCUGAAGUGCAGUGACGUGAUCUUGGCUCACUGCAACCUCCACCUCCUGGGUUCAAGCGAUUCUCCUGCCUCAGCCUCCUGAGUAGCUGGGAUUACAGGUAUCUUGGCAGUAACCUCCUCCAUAUAUUUCCUUGGCCCUCAGCUUACAUCUAGCAAAAUGACUCUACUGGUUCCAGGCUUCACAUGCAUACAACAUGGUGUUGGAGGAACAGAGAUGUUUUCUCUUCCUGGUGUUUUCCCAGACAUUUCUUAGCUGGCAUUUCAAACAAGGGUCCUGAAAUUCACCCUGGUUGGGUCGUGUUCUCCCCUUCCCAUUCCCCAUCCCCACCCUCAACCGAAAAAUGAUGUAAGCAGGGGAAAUUGAAUGUACCAAUGUUUGUUUUUAAACAAGCCACAGACCCCUCCCCAACUCCCCGACUGAAGCUUGAAGUGGGAUCAGCUUUCCCUAAAGUACUUGAGCUUAUGGUAAAGCAUAUAUGUUAUCCAAGUUAAAGUCUGGACGCUGUUAGUAAUGGGAAGGCAAGUAAUGAAUGUUAGCUAUGGAGCCAACAGACAGUGUCCACUCCAUUGUCUUUAAGGCCCAACUAAAGAUAACCUCUUUACCAAUGUCGGUUUAUUUAUUCAUUUAUUUAUUCAUUGAGAUGGAGUCUCACUCUCUCACCCAAGCUGGAGUGCAGUGGAAUGAUCUCAGCUGACUGCAAUUUCUGCCUCCCAGGUUCAAGCAAUCUCCUGCUUCAGCCUCCCAAGUAGCUGGGAUUACAGGCGCACACCACCAUGCCCGGCUAAUUUUUGUAUUUUUAGUAGAGAUAGGGUUUCACCAUGUUGGCCAAGCUGGUCUCGGACACCUGACCUCAAGUGAUCUGCCUGCCUCGGCCCCCAAAGGUGUGAGCCACUGCACCUGGCUACAAUGUCAGUUUCUAUAAAAACUGCCUUGACUUGUUUUGUUUGCUUGUUUUGUUUGUUUGUGUUUUAAUUUUUAUUAUUUUUUUUUAGAGACAGGGUCUCAAUCUGUUGUCUAGGCUUGAGUGCAGUGGUGCAAUCAUAGCUCACUGAAGUGUUGGACUCCCAGGCUCAAGCAGUCCUCCCACCUCAGCCUCCCAAGUAGCUGAGACUACAGGCAUGCACCACCCUGUCUGGCUAAUUUUUUAUUUUUAGUAGAGAUGAGGUCUCACUAUGUUGCCCAAGGUGGCCUCAAACUCCUGGCCUCAAGUACUCCUGUGGCCUUAGCCUCCCAAAGCUCUGGGAUUGCAGGUAUGAGCCGCCAUGCCUGGCCUACUGUAUAUUUUAUGCAUUUGAUAUAAGUCUUGCCUCCCUAAGUAUAUUACAAGUCCCUUGAAGUUAAAGACAUUAGAUUCCUACUCAGUGCUGAGCUGCAACAGAGAGCACUCAAUGAUGGAUAAAAUAGUUUUAGCAUGCAUUCAGCGAUAUAUAUUUAGAAAGUGGAACUAGGUGGUUGAAAAAAGUGUAUAGAUGGGUGGAAGGGAAUAUUACAGCUCUUAGAAUUGUCCUAAGGUGAGAGUAACAAAUUAAGCAAUGAGUCCCUGGGUUCACUCAAGCAACUUCACUCUCUAAAACAAGAGCCCACAGAAUCCCAUUUCUGCUUUCAGAAUGAGUUUGAGGCCAAUAUUAUUUCCAUUUUUUUUCUUUUUCUUUCUUUCUUUUUUUUUUUUUUUUUUUUGAGACGGAGUUUCACUCUUGUUGCCCAGGCUGUUUUGAUCUCGGCUCACUGCAACCUCUGCCCCUGGGUUCAAGCGAUUCUCCUGUCUCAACCUCCCAAGCUGGGAUUACAAGCAUGCGCUACCACACCUGGCUAAUUUUGUAUUUUUAAUAGAGACGGGGUUUCUCUGUGUUGGUCAGGCUGGUCUCAAACUCCCAACCUCAGGUGAUCUGCCCACCUUGGCCCAGCCUCCAAUAUGAUUUUCUAAUAGCUGUGUUUGAUGAUUAUAUUUAUUCCUCCAUCAGUAGCUUUUUUAGCCUUGAAAAUAUCUAUUUAAGUUUCUUAUUUCCUUUGGAUCUAUCAAAGUGUUUUUCCCCAAGUGGCACCUGGGAAAACAUAUUCUAUUCAUUUAUUUUAUAACUGUUCCCUUGACCUCUUUAUUGCUUCCCUAUUACAACCCAAGAUGCUCUUGUAAACCUGACUUAAUAUUGGCAGUCUUCAUCCCUUGCAAAUGGAAGUGAUGACAGACCCAAUACUUUGUGUAAAAAUAUUUUGCUAUUUCUAUACAAAAUAUUUUAUUAAUGGAAACCACAUGUUAUGUAUUUUACAUAUGUUAUGACUUGAAAUUUAUGUUAUGACUUGAAAUUGGGGAAUCUGAUAUGUCUCUAAUAAUAAAGGCUUCACAGUACAACUGUUGUUUGUAGAUUUACAGAUGGCUGGCAUUUUAAUUUUUUAAUUUAAAUUUUUAAUUCAAAUAUGAUUGACCUGAAAUAUUAACAAAAAUUAUCCUUGAAUUGUUGCACUGCAAAAUAAGAAAGCAAAAUCAGCUAUCUAUGAUGCAACAUUUUAUUUAUAAAUUAAGAUUGUUAGCACUCAUCUAUUGAUUUUUCUCUCUAUUAAACAUACUCCUAAUAAUAAAGGGAAGGAAGGAUCUUUGUAAAGUUAAAUUUACCGUAGCAAAGAAUAGAGGUGAUAAUUAAUAACAUGUUAAAACUCCUUUCUAAAAGCAGAUUCAAUAAACAGUAAGUGUUCAAAUAACUACUACAGUUUAUCUUUCUCAAACCUUGAAAAAGAACAUUCCAAGGUAUUAGUUCUAAUAGUUAUUCUGUCUUUUCCACUGGAUUAUUAUGAACUCCUUAAAAACAUGUGAAAUGUCAGCCGGGCACAGUGGCUAACGCCUGUAAUCCCAGCACUUUGAGAGGCUGAGGCUGGCAGACCCCUUG
rnacentral:lncRNA from 1 species